ensembl:snoRNA LOC120102048 small nucleolar RNA SNORA17
CCUACCCCUAGAAGCCUUGCAGGUGUGGCUGCUAUGUCACAUGUGCGUCAGUAGAUGGCAAAGGAGAGACAGGCUAUGUCUAUGCUUGUGUUCUGUCCUAGGGACAUCUGAACGAUUAGUAGCCUAACAGU